GCCCUGGUGGCGGAACGGUAGACGCAGCGGACUUAAAAUCCGCCGCUGUAACAAGCGUGUGGGUUCGAAUCCCACCCGGGGCA
rnacentral:tRNA from 1 species